rnacentral:lncRNA from 1 species
AGAAGAGUUUUUUGGUUUUUUUUUAAUUUGAAAACAGGUUUUAGUAUUCAGGGAUGUAUUUGUGAACUGGAUAAUUGAGAGAGACACUGGAAGUCUAAACAAGAUUGAAAAUACAAUACAGUAUUCUGGAAAACUGGAAUUUGCAAGCUAUACAUAUCGAGGAAAAAAAAUCAGCCUGA